ACGAAAAGACGCGGAAAAUUAAGAGGACGUCUGCUACGUACUCAUCUCACAAGAAGCUACAAUACUAAAUAUUUUGCUUCAGUCAUGGAAUACAGCAACAUAGCUAAGAAGAGGGAGGGUGUUAUUGUUAAGAUCGUGACAUGAUACAAAGCCCCAGGAGUAGAGACAAAUAAUCUCAACCAACCACGAAAUUUGUCUAAGAGCGUUGUCUCACUUGCUUUGUAUGAUGCACCAGGACAAAGGUGUGGGAAUGACUAUCUAACCGAAAAGAAUUAUCCCAAGCCACCACUAAACAUAUUAUAUGAUGGCAUGAUUUUGGCUAAUUCUUUUGAAGAGACUUUUGGCCAUCUAUAUGGUCAAGGUUCCUGGUGUGAAUUCACAUCAGAAAGCUUUCCUAACAACAUUCGUCGUAGUGUUGUUGCACUUACUUCAUGGAGUGGAGGGAGGAGGCAUUUUGCCUGCACGGGUUUUUUUAUUGAAUGGACGAACGGAUACAGAAUUAUUCUCACAUCAGCGAGCUUGGUUAGAGAGUCUGAUGAUGGAUGGUAGAUUGCUAAAAACUUGGCUGUAGAUACAGGUGUUGCUUCCAAACAGUACAUGCGAUGUAGGGUAUUUACAACAUUAUAGCUUACACUACAAUGUUGCUCUAGUCAGUACCCAUCACAGUUGGAAUGCUCCUCCAGUAUGUACUCGGCUUGACCAGCACAAUUGUACUCCCUCCGUCUCAAAAAAAGUCAAACCUUGGGUUUCCGUGUCCAACUUUAACUAUCCGUCUUAUAUGAAAUUUUUUUUAUAAUUCGUAUUUUUAUUAUUGUUAGAUGAUAAAACAUGA